rnacentral:rRNA from 1 species
UACGUAGGGUGCAAGCGUUAAUCGGAAUUACUGGGCGUAAAGCGUGCGCAGGCGGUGAUGUAAGACAGGUGUGAAAUCCCCGGGCUUAACCUGGGAACUGCAUUUGUGACUGCAUCGCUGGAGUGCGGCAGAGGGGGAUGGAAUUCCGCGUGUAGCAGUGAAAUGCGUAGAUAUGCGGAGGAACACCAGUGGCGAAGGCGAUCAUCUGGGGUUGUUCUGACACUGAGGAGCGAAAGCUAGGGGAGCAAACGGG